CGCGGGGUGGAGCAGUUCGGUAGCUCGUCGGGCUCAUAACCCGAAGGUCGGAGGUUCAAAUCCUUCCCCCGCAACCA
rnacentral:tRNA from 4 species